rnacentral:rRNA from 1 species
UAAUACGUAGGGUGCGAGCGUUAAUCGGAAUUACUGGGCGUAAAGGGUGCGCAGGCGGUUGUGCAAGACAGGCGUGAAAUCCCCGGGCUUAACCUGGGAAUGGCGCUUGUGACUGCACGGCUAGAGUGUGUCAGAGGGGGGUAGAAUUCCACGUGUAGCAGUGAAAUGCGUAGAUAUGUGGAGGAAUACCGAUGGCGAAGGCAGCCCCCUGGGAUAACACUGACGCUCAUGCACGAAAGCGUGGGGAGCAAACAGG